rnacentral:rRNA from 1 species
AUUGAACGCUGGCGGAAUGCUUUACACAUGCAAGUCGAACGGCAGCACGGGGGCAACCCUGGUGGCGAGUGGCGAACGGGUGAGUAAUACAUCGGAACGUGCCCAGUCGUGGGGGAUAACGUAGCGAAAGCUACGCUAAUACCGCAUACGAUCUACGGAUGAAAGCGGGGGAUCGCAAGACCUCGCGCGAUUGGAGCGGCCGAUGGCAGAUUAGGUAGUUGGUGGGGUAAAGGCUCACCAAGCCUUCGAUCUGUAGCUGGUCUGAGAGGACGACCAGCCACACUGGGACUGAGACACGGCCCAGACUCCUACGGGAGGCAGCAGUGGGGAAUUUUGGACAAUGGGCGAAAGCCUGAUCCAGCCAUUCCGCGUGCAGGAUGAAGGCCCUCGGGUUGUAAACUGCUUUUGUACGGUAACGAAACGGCCUUUUCUAAUACAGAGGGCUAAUGACGGUACCGUAAGAAUAAGCACCGGCUAACUACGUGCCAGCAGCCGCGGUAAAGUAU